rnacentral:lncRNA from 1 species
GUGUGACGUCUUUCUGAACUCCCUCGACCAUCUGGACUUCUCCGACAAUGAGCUUCCCCAUUCAUCUACCGGGCCGCUCCAAAGGCUCUCUGGGCUUCACUAUCAGCCAACCUUCUACAGUGAUCAACUAUUUUAUGAAUCCCUUCCAGACUCCUUUCGACCGCGGAUGACCCUAUUCCGAACUUCGUCAAUAUCCGAGCUUCUUCGAUGAUAAGAUUUCUACAG